rnacentral:tRNA from 1 species
GCCUGGGUAGCUCAGUGGUUGAGUGUCUGCCUUCAGCUCAGGCAUGAUCUCAUGGUCCUGGGAUCAAAUCCCACAUCAGGCU